AGAGAGAGACAUGCGCGCAUAUCAAUAAGCGGAGGAAAAGAAACUAACAAGGAUUCCCUUAGUAACGGCGAGUGAAGCGGGAAGAGCUCAAAUUUGAAAUCUUCAAGGUUUUACCUUGACGAAUUGUAGUUUAAAGAAGUGUUUUCUGCUGAAGUUUUGGUAAAAGUUCUUUGGAAUAGGACAUCAUAGAGGGUGAGAAUCCCGUAUUUGACCAUUAUUUUCAGCUUUGUGAUACACUUUCAAAGAGUCGGAUUGUUUGGGAAUGCAGUCCAAAAUGGGUGGUAAAUUUCAUCUAAAGCUAAAUAUUGGCGAGAGACCGAUAGCGAACAAGUACCGUGAGGGAAAGAUGAAAAGAACUUUGAAAAGAGAGUUAAACAGUACGUGAAAUUGUCAAAAGGGAAGCGUUUGACACCAGUGUUGUUUUCUCGAAAAUCAGUUAAAAAUGGCUCGAUUUUGUAUUGUUGAGACCUUAAAAGCUCACUGUACAUUUUUCGUGUCCUUUUUUAAUGCACUUUUCGUUUAACAAGUCAACAUCAGUUUCUUUUGUUGUAAAAGGGUCAUUGGAAGGUGGCUUUCUUUUCGGAGAAAGUGUUUAUAGCCUUUGGCCUCUGCAAUCGAAGAGACUGAGGUCUGCAGCGUAGACUCUUCGGGGUUAGAUACAUUUGUGCUAAGUUAUAGCUUUUUAUAGACAACUUGUUGACUAUAAUUAGUCUUGUAGCUUACUCGCUUAUGCUAUUUUACCUACGCUUAGGAUGUUGAGUCGUAGAGCACGCAG
rnacentral:rRNA from 1 species